rnacentral:rRNA from 1 species
GAUGAACGCUGACAGAAUGCUUAACACAUGCAAGUCUACUUGAAUUUGGGUUUUUAACUUAGGUUUGGGUGGCGGACGGGUGAGUAACGCGUAAAGAACUUGCCUCACAGCCAGGGACAACAUUUAGAAAUGAAUGCUAAUACCUAAUAUUAUGAUAAUAGGGCAUCCUAUAAUUAUGAAAGCUAUAUGCGCUGUGAGAGAGCUUUGCAUCCCAUUAGCUAGUUGGAGAGGUAACGGCUCACCAAGGCGAUGAUGGGUAGCCGGCCUGAGAGGGUGAUCGGCCACAAGGGGACUGAGACACGGCCCUUACUCCUACGGGAGGCAGCAGUGGGGAAUAUUGGACAAUGGACCGAGAGUCUGAUCCAGCAAUUCUGUGUGCACGAUGAAGUUUUUCGGAAUGUAAAGUGCUUUCAGUUGGGAAGAAAUAAAUGACGGUACCAACAGAAGAAGUGACGGCUAAAUACGUGCCAGCAGCCGCGGUAAUACGUAUGUCACGAGCGUUAUCCGGAUUUAUUGGGCGUAAAGCGCGUCUAGGUGGUUAUAUAAGUCUGAUGUGAAAAUGCAGGGCUCAACUCUGUAUUGCGUUGGAAACUGUAUAACUAGAGUACUGGAGAGGUAAGCGGAACUACAAGUGUAGAGGUGAAAUUCGUAGAUAUUUGUAGGAAUGCCGAUGGGGAAGCCAGCUUACUGGACAGAUACUGACGCUGAAGCGCGAAAGCGUGGGUAGCAAACAGG